GGUAGUCCACGCCGUAAACGAUGUCGACUUGGAGGUUGUGCCCUUGAGGCGUGGCUUCCGGAGCUAACGCGUUAAGUCGACCGCCUGGGGAGUACGGCCGCAAGGUUAAAACUCAAAUGAAUUGACGGGGGCCCGCACAAGCGGUGGAGCAUGUGGUUUAAUUCGAUGCAACGCGAAGAACCUUACCUACUCUUGACAUCCAGAGAACUUAGCAGAGAUGCUUUGGUGCCUUCGGGAACUCUGAGACAGGUGCUGCAUGGCUGUCGUCAGCUCGUGUUGUGAAAUGUUGGGUUAAGUCCCGCAACGAGCGCAACCCUUAUCCUUUGUUGCCAGCGGUUAGGCCGGGAACUCAAAGGAGACUGCCAGUGAUAAACUGGAGGAAGGUGGGGAUGACGUCAAGUCAUCAUGGCCCUUACGAGUAGGGCUACACACGUGCUACAAUGGCGCGUACAAAGAGAAGCGACCUCGCGAGAGCAAGCGGACCUCAUAAAGUGCGUCGUAGUCCGGAUUGGAGUCUGCAACUCGACUCCAUGAAGUCGGAAUCGCUAGUAAUCGUAGAUCAGAAUGCUACGGUGAAUACGUUCCCGGGCCUUGUACACACCGCCCGUCACACCAUGGGAGUGGGUUGCAAAAGAAGUAGGUAGCUUAACCUUCGGGAGGGCGCUUACCACUUUGUGAUUCAUGACUGGGGUGAAGUCGUAACAAGGUAACCGUAGGGGAACCUGC
rnacentral:rRNA from 1 species